CCUGGCUAGGACGAACGCUGGCGGCGUGCUUAACACAUGCAAGUCGAACGGGGCGAUAGAAAGCUUGCUUUUAAAGCCUAGUGGCAAACGGGUGAGUAACGCGUGGGCAACCUGCCGGAAAGAUGGGGACAACAUCCCGAAAGGGGUGCUAAUACCGAAUGUUGUACGAGGGACGCAUGUUCCAUGUACUAAAGGAUCCUAUCCGCUUUCCGAUGGGCCCGCGUCCGAUUAGCUGGUUGGUGAGAUAACGGCCCACCAAGGCGACGAUCGGUAGCCCGGCCUGAGAGGGUGAACGGCCACAUUGGGACUGAGACACGGCCCAGACUCCUACGGGAGGCAGCAGUGGGGAAUCUUCCGCAAUGGGCGAAAGCCUGACGGAGCAACGCCGCGUGAGUGAAGAAGGCCUUCGGGACCGUAAAGCUCUGUUGGCCGGGGAAGAGUGCUAUGGGGGAACCUGUAGAGGGACGGUACCCGGCGAGGAAGCCGCGGCUAACUACGUGCCAGCAGCAGC
rnacentral:rRNA from 1 species